rnacentral:rRNA from 1 species
GAUGAACGCUGGCGGCGUGCCUAAUACAUGCAAGUCGAGCGAACAGACGAGGAGCUUGCUCCUUUGACGUUAGCGGCGGACGGGUGAGUAACACGUAGGUAACCUACCUAUAAGACUGGGAUAACUUCGGGAAACCGGAGCUAAUACCGGAUAAUAUUUCGAACCGCAUGGUUCGAUAGUGAAAGAUGGCUUUGCUAUCACUUAUAGAUGGACCUGCGCCGUAUUAGAUAGUUGGUAAGGUUACGGCUUACCAAGGCUACGAUUCGUAGCCGACCUGAGAGGGUGGUCGGCGACACGGGAGCUGGGACACGGACCAGGGUACUGCGGGAGGCAGCAGUAGGGAACCGUAGGCAAUGGGCGAAAGCCUGACGGAAUGACGCGGCGUGAGAGAUGAAGGCGUUCGGACCGUAAAACUCUGUUAUUAGUGAAGAACCACUGUGUAAGGAAAUGUGCACGUACUGACGGUACCGAAUCAGAAAGCCACGGCUAACUACGUG